rnacentral:rRNA from 1 species
UACGUAGGUGGCGAGCGUUGUCCGGAAUUACUGGGUGUAAAGGGCGUGUAGGCGGGGAUGUAAGUCAGAUGUGAAAUUCCGGGGCUCAACCCCGGCGCUGCAUCUGAAACUAUGUCUCUUGAGUGCUGGAGAGGAAAGCGGAAUUCCUAGUGUAGCGGUGAAAUGCGUAGAUAUUAGGAGGAACACCAGUGGCGAAGGCGGCUUUCUGGACAGUAACUGACGCUGAGGCGCGAAAGCGUGGGGAGCAAACAGGAUUAGAUACCCUGGUAGUCCACGCCGUAAACGAUGGAUACUAGGUGUAGGAGGUAUCGACCCCUUCUGUGCCGGAGUUAACACAAUAAGUAUCCCACCUGGGGAGCACGGCCGCAAGGUUGAA